UACCUCGUCAGUCAUAUAGGGGGAGCCUUCUCCUAAAUGGUCGGAUAUCCACGAAGGUAACGAAUCUAGGUCACCCGAUCUAGUUACGUCGGAAUUACGGGACAUAAACUAUGAGAACGAUAACUAAGUCAGGAGAAGAGUACUUACUAAAGUAGAAGACGCUGGGCGAUCACGAGUAGGGCGAGGAGGAAAUAAAUGCGAGAGCAAUAGCUUGACAACAAUAGCAGAAAAGUACCAGUGAAAAGGGAGACCCCAUAUAUAUAGGAAACACUGAGGGUUCAGAUCCAUUCAAUGCAAUGAUUGCUCUCAGGCGCCGUUCCGUCUCCCGAGGUAAUAAUUGCGUCUCCCGCCAAAAGGCCUCAUUAAUGCGCCGCCUCAAGCCUGUGGUAUUAACCACACUCCGUGUUUCCCGCCGAAGUCAUCAUUUAAAGCUGCACCUGGCCAUUUGUGCCGCCGCUUCAGCAAUCAAUGCUCUAGCCCACCUGUUCGUUUGAAGAGACACGUGUCGCUGUUUGGAGAUGACACCAAGAUUGUAACUAACUACUCGUAAAUCCCUCAAACCUCCUCGGCAUUUCGAGUAGGGGG
rnacentral:lncRNA from 1 species